CAGUCGCCGCGGGAAUACGAAGGGGGCUAGCGUUGUUCGGAAUUACUGGGCGUAAAGGGCGCGUAGGCGGCCAUUCAAGUUAGAUGUGAAAGCCCUGGGCUCAACCUAGGAAUUGCAUUUGAUACUGUUUGGCUUGAGUUCGGGAGAGGUGAGUGGAAUUCCCAGUGUAGAGGUGUAAUUCGUAGAUAUUGGGAAGAACACCAGUGGCGAAGGCGGCUCACUGGACCGACACUGACGCUGAGGCGCGAAAGCGUGGGGAGCAAACAGGAUUAGAGACCCCUGUAGUCCCUGUCUCUUAUAC
rnacentral:rRNA from 1 species